rnacentral:rRNA from 1 species
AUGGUUAAGUCCUCGAUCUAUUAGUAUUCGUCAGCUCCACAUGUCACCAUGCUUCCACCUCGAACCUAUCAACCUGAUCAUCUUUCAGGGAUCUUACUAGCUUACGCUAUGGGAAAUCUCAUCUUGAGGGGGGCUUCAUGCUUAGAUGCUUUCAGCACUUAUCCCUUCCGCACAUAGCUACCCAGCUAUGCCCUUGGCAGAACAACUGGUACACCAGCGGUGCGUCCAUCCCGGUCCUCUCGUACUAAGGACAGCUCCUCUCAAAUUUCCUACGCCCACGACGGAUAGGGACCGAACUGUCUCACGACGUUCUGAACCCAGCUCGCGUACCGCUUUAAUGGGCGAACAGCCCAACCCUUGGGACCGACUACAGCCCCAGGAUGCGAUGAGCCGACAUCGAGGUGCCAAACCUCCCCGUCGAUGUGGACUCUUGGGGGAGAUAAGCCUGUUAUCCCCGGGGUAGCUUUUAUCCGUUGAGCGAUGGCCCUUCCAUGCGGAACCACCGGAUCACUAAGCCCGACUUUCGUCCCUGCUCGACUUGUAGGUCUCGCAGUCAAGCUCCCUUAUGCCUUUGCACUCUACGAAUGAUUUCCAACCAUUCUGAGGGAACCUUUGGGCGCCUCCGUUACACUUUAGGAGGCGACCGCCCCAGUCAAACUGCCCACCUGACACUGUCUCCCGGGUCGAUAAGACCCGUAGGUUAGAAUUUCAAUACAGUCAGGGCGGUAUCCCACCAGCGCCUCCACCGAAGCUAGCGCUCCGGUUUCAAUGGCUCCCGCCUAUCCUGUACAAACUGUACCAAAAUUCAAUAUCAGGCUACAGUAAAGCUCCACGGGGUCUUUCCGUCCUGUCGCGGGUAACCUGCAUCUUCACAGGUACUAUAAUUUCACCGAGUCUCUGGUUGAGACAGUGCCCAAAUCGUUACACCUUUCGUGCGGGUCGGAACUUACCCGACAAGGAAUUUCGCUACCUUAGGACCGUUAUAGUUACGGCCGCCGUUUACUGGGGCUUCAGUUCAGAGCUUCGCUUACGCUAACCCCUCUCCUUAACCUUCCAGCACCGGGCAGGUGUCACCCCCUAUACUUCGCCUUACGGCUUCGCAGAGAGCUGUGUUUUUGCUAAACAGUCGCUUGGGCCUAUUCACUGCGGCUUUCCGUUAAGAAAGCACCCCUUCUCCCGAAGUUACGGGGUCAUUUUGCCGAGUUCCUUAACCAGAGUUCUCUCGCACACCUUAGGAUUCUCUCCUCGCCUACCUGUGUCGGUUUGCGGUACAGGCACCUUUUAUCUCGCUAGAAGCUUUUCUUGGCAGCGGGGAAUCAAAGACUUCGCUCCAUAAGGAGCUUCCCCAUCACAGCUCAGCCUUCACGAUAAGCGGAUUUGCCUACUUAUCAGCCUAACUGCUUGGACGUGCACAACCAAUCGCACGCUUCUUCUAUCCUUCUGCGUCCCUCCAUUGCUCAAACGAUAAAGAGGUGGUACAGGAAUAUCAACCUGUUGUCCAUCGCCUACGCCUGUCGGCCUCGGCUUAGGUCCUGACUAACCCUGAGCGGACGAGCCUUCCUCAGGAAACCUUAGGCAUUCGGUGGACGGGAUUCUCACCCGUCUUUCGCUACUCAUACCGGCAUUCUCACUUCUAAGCACUCCACCAGUCCUUACGGUCUGACUUCACUGUCCUUAGAACGCUCCCCUACCACUGAUACCAUUGGUAUCAAUCCGCAGCUUCGGUGGUGUAUUUAGCCCCGGUACAUUUUCGGCGCAGAGUCACUCGACUAGUGAGCUAUUACGCACUCUUUAAAUGGUGGCUGCUUCUAAGCCAACAUCCUAGUUGUCUAAGCAACUCCACAUCCUUUUCCACUUAAUACACACUUUGGGACCUUAGCUGGCGGUCUGGGCUGUUUCCCUUUUGACUACGGAUCUUAUCACUCGCAGUCUGACUCCUAAGGAUAAGUCAUUGGCAUUCGGAGUUUGACUGAAUUCGGUAAUCCGAUGAGGACCCCUAGUCCAAUCAGUGCUCUACCUCCAAGACUCUUACACUUAAGGCUAGCCCUAAAGCUAUUUCGGGGAGAACCAGCUAUCUCCAGGUUCGAUUGGAAUUUCUCCGCUACCCACACCUCAUCCCCGCACUUUUCAACGUGCGUGGGUUCGGGCCUCCAUUCAGUGUUACCUGAACUUCACCCUGGACAUGGGUAGAUCACCUGGUUUCGGGUCUACGACCACGUACUAAACGCCCUAUUCAGACUCGCUUUCGCUGCGGCUCCGCCUCUUCAGCUUAACCUCGCACGGGAUCGUAACUCGCCGGUUCAUUCUACAAAAGGCACGCCAUCACCCGUUAACGGGCUCUGACUAUUUGUAGGCACACGGUUUCAGGAUCUCUUUCACUCCCCUUCCGGGGUGCUUUUCACCUUUCCCUCACGGUACUGGUUCACUAUCGAUCACUAGGGAGUAUUUAGCCUUGGGAGAUGGUCCUCCCAGAUUCCGACGGAAUUUCACGUGUUCCGCCGUACUCAGGAUACAUUCAAGAGAGAACGAAGUUUCGACUACGGGGUUGUUACCCUCUACGACGGACCUUUCCAGGUCGCUUCGUCUACCUCGUUCCUUUGUAACUCCGUAUAGAAUGUCCUACAACCCCAAGAGGCAAGCCUCUUGGUUUGGGCUAUGUUCCGUUUCGCUCGCCGCUACUCAGGAAAUCGCAUUUGCUUUCUCUUCCUCCAGGUACUUAGAUGUUUCAGUUCCCUGGGUCUGUCUUCCUUACCCUAUGUAUUCAGAUAAGGAUACCAUACCAUUACGUAUGGUGGGUUUCCCCAUUCGGAAAUCUUCGGAUCAAAGCUUACUUACAGCUCCCCGAAGCAUAUCGGCGUUAGUCCCGUCCUUCAUCGACUCCUAGUGUCAAGGCAUCCACCGUGCGCCCUUUCUAACUUAA